rnacentral:rRNA from 1 species
GUCGAGAAUCUUUCACAAUGGGGGCAACCCUGAUGGAGCGACGCCGCGUGGAGGAUAAGGUCUUCGGAUUGUAAACUCCUGUCAUGCGUGAACAAGGUUGCUUGGUUAAUACCUGGGCAAAUUGAUGGUAACGCAAGAGGAAGAGACGGCUAACUCUGUGCCAGCAGCUGCGGUAAUACAGAGGUCUCAAGCGUUGUUCGGAAUCACUGGGCGUAAAGGGUGCGUAGGUGGCGUGGUAAGUCAGAUGUGAAAGCCCGGGGCUCAACAUCGGAACUGCAUCCGAUACUGCCAUGCUAGAGUACUGGAGAGGUGACUAGAAUUCUCGGUGUAGCAGUGAAAUGCGUAGAUAUCGAGAGGAAUACCAAAGGCGUAGGCAGGUCACUGGACAGUUACUGACACUGAGGCACGAAGGCCAGGGGAGCGAACGGGAUUAGAAACCCCGGUAGUCC